rnacentral:rRNA from 1 species
AGAGUUUGAUCAUGGCUCAGGAUGAACGCUAGCUACAGGCUUAACACAUGCAAGUCGAGGGGAAACGAUAUUGGAAGCUUGCUUCCGAUAGGCGUCGACCGGCGCACGGGUGAGUAACGCGUAUCCAACCUGCCCACCACUUGGGGAUAACCUUGCGAAAGUAAGACUAAUACCCAAUGAUAUCUCUAGAAGACAUCUGAAAGAGAUUAAAGAUUUAUCGGUGAUGGAUGGGGAUGCGUCUGAUUAGCUUGUUGGCGGGGUAACGGCCCACCAAGGCAACGAUCAGUAGGGGUUCUGAGAGGAAGGUCCCCCACAUUGGAACUGAGACACGGUCCAAACUCCUACGGGAGGCAGCAGUGAGGAAUAUUGGUCAAUGGACGAGAGUCUGAACCAGCCAAGUAGCGUGCAGGAAGACGGCCCUAUGGGUUGUAAACUGCUUUUAUAAGGGAAUAAAGUGAGAGUCGUGACUCUUUUUGCAUGUACCUUAUGAAUAAGGACCGGCUAAUUCCGUGCCAGCAGCCGCGGUAAUACGGAAGGUCCGGGCGUUAUCCGGAUUUAUUGGGUUUAAAGGGAGCGUAGGCCGGAGAUUAAGCGUGUUGUGAAAUGUAGACGCUCAACGUCUGCACUGCAGCGCGAACUGGUUUCCUUGAGUACGCACAAAGUGGGCGGAAUUCGUGGUGUAGCGGUGAAAUGCUUAGAUAUCACGAAGAACUCCGAUUGCGAAGGCAGCUCACUGGAGCGCAACUGACGUUGAGGCUCGAAAGCGUGGGGAGCAAACAGGAUUAGAUACCCUGGUAGUCCACGCCGUAAACGAUGACUACUAGGUGUCGGGGAGCAGAGCUCUUCGGUGCCGCAGCAAACGCAAUAAGUAGUCCACCUGGGGAGUACGUUCGCAAGAAUGAAACUCAAAGGAAUUGACGGGGACCCGCACAAGCGGUGGAGCAUGUGGUUUAAUUCGAAGCAACGCGAAGAACCUUACCUGCUCUUGACAUCCCGGUGACCGGCAUGUAAUGAUGCCUUUUCUUCGGAACACCGGUGACAGGUGGUGCAUGGUUGUCGUCAGCUCGUGUCGUGAGAUGUUGGGUUAAGUCCCGCAACGAGCGCAACCCUUAUCUUCAGUAGCCAGCAAUUCGGAUGGGCACUCUGGAGAGACUGCCAGGGAUAACCUGGAGGAAGGUGGGGAUGACGUCAAAUCAUCAUGCCCCUUAUGAGCAGGGCUACACACGUGCUACAAUGGCGUAAACAAAGGGAAGCGAGCCUGCGAGGGUAAGCAAAUCUCAAAAAUAACGUCUCAGUUCGGAUUGUAGUCUGCAACUCGACUACAUGAAGCUGGAAUCGCUAGUAAUCGCGAAUCAGCAUGUCGCGGUGAAUACGUUCCCGGGUCUUGUACACACCGCCCGUCACACCAUGGGAGUUGGUAACGCCCGAAGUCAGUGACCCAACCGUAAGGAGGGAGCUGCCGAAGGUGGGACCGAUAACUGGGGUGAAGUCGUAACAAGGUA